UUUGUCAUUCUUACUCCUUUUAUUGCUAUUCAUCAAAUCUAUUUCAUCUCUCUUUCUUCCGUUUUCUUUAUGCUCAUUAUUACUCUAUUUACUCCCUUUCUUCAAAUUCAUCUUUUCCUUACUUCUCUUCCGUUUUCUCCCCCUCAUUAUUACUGCAUUUAUUUCUUUUCCUCAAAUCCCUGUAUCCAUUUUCUUAGAAUAUUUUUUUAUUUGGCUUUAUAAAAUCCAAAGCCCUAAGGGCAGGCAUAAGACUGAGAAGAAACCAGUGUUGGGAAACCCUCCGAUGAUAAAACUAUGGCGGAGAAAAAGCCAAAGGCUUGAAGAUGCAUCUCAAAGAUUAUUUUUUGAAAACCUUCCACUGGCAGGCGAUCGUGUUUUUCACAUGACUCCCAAGAGCUCUUAUCGACGGAGUCGUUUGGCACCUCGAUGUCGACUCAUCACAUC